rnacentral:rRNA from 1 species
GACGAACGCUGGCGGCGUGCUUAACACAUGCAAGUCGAACGGAAAGGCCCUGCUUUUGUGGGGUGCUCGAGUGGCGAACGGGUGAGUAACACGUUAGUAACCUGCCCUUUACUUUGGGAUAACUUCAGGAAACUGGGGCUAAUACCGGAUAGGAGCUCCUGCUGCAUGGUGGGGGUUGGAAAGUUUCGGCGGUUGGGGAUGGACUCGCGGCUUAUCAGCUUGUUGGUGGGGUAGUGGCUUACCAAGGCUUUGACGGGUAGCCGGCCUGAGAGGGUGACCGGCCACAUUGGGACUGAGAUACGGCCCAGACUCCUACGGGAGGCAGCAGUGGGGAAUAUUGCACAAUGGGCGGAAGCCUGAUGCAGCAACGCCGCGUGCGGGAUGACGGCCUUCGGGUUGUAAACCGCUUUCGCCUGUGACGAAGCGUGAGUGACGGUAAUGGGUAAAGAAGCACCGGCUAACUACGUG